GUAGGUGGCAAGCGUUGUCCGGAAUUAUUGGGCGUAAAGCGCGCGCAGGCGGUUCUUUAAGUCUGAUGUGAAAGCCCACGGCUCAACCGUGGAGGGUCAUUGGAAACUGGAGAACUUGAGUACAGAAGAGGAAAGCGGAAUUCCACGUGUAGCGGUGAAAUGCGUAGAGAUGUGGAGGAACACCAGUGGCGAAGGCGGCUUUCUGGUCUGUAACUGACGCUGAGGCGCGAAAGCGUGGGGAGCAAACAGAAUUAGAUACCCUGGUAGUCCACGCCGUAAACGAUGAGUGCUAAGUGUUAGGGGGUUUCCGCCCCCCUUAGUGCUGCAGCUAACGCAUUAAGCACUCCGCCUGGGAGUACGGCCGCAAGGCUG
rnacentral:rRNA from 1 species